rnacentral:rRNA from 1 species
UACGGAGGGGGCUAGCGUUGUUCGGAAUUACUGGGCGUAAAGCGCGCGUAGGCGGACCUGCAAGUCGGGGGUGAAAGCCCGAGGCUCAACCUCGGAACUGCCUUCGAUACUGCGGGUCUCGAGUCCGGGAGAGGUGAGUGGAAUUCCUAGUGUAGAGGUGAAAUGCGCAGAUAUCAGGAAGAACACCCGUGGCGAAGGCGGCUCUCUGGGACGGUACUGACGCUGAGACGCGAAAGCGUGGGGAGCAAACAGG